AUUGAACGCUGGCGGCAUGCCUUACACAUGCAAGUCGAACGGUAACAGGUUAAGCUGACGAGUGGCGAACGGGUGAGUAAUACAUCGGAACGUGCCCAGUAGUGGGGGAUAGCCCGGCGAAAGCCGGAUUAAUACCGCAUACGACCUAAGGGUGAAAGGGGGGGAUCGCAAGACCUCUCGCUAUUGGAGCGGCCGAUGUCAGAUUAGCUAGUUGGUGGGGUAAAAGCACACCAAGGCGACGAUCUGUAGCUGGUCUGAGAGGACGACCAGCCACACUGGGACUGAGACACGGCCCAGACUCCUACGGGAGGCAGCAGUGGGGAAUUUUGGACAAUGGGCGCAAGCCUGAUCCAGCCAUGCCGCGUGCGGGAAGAAGGCCUUCGGGUUGUAAACCGCUUUUGUCAGGGAAGAAAUCCUUUGGGUUAAUACCUCGGGGGGAUGACGGUACCUGAAGAAUAAGCACCGGCUAACUACGUG
rnacentral:rRNA from 1 species